AUGACACAGUUCGGCUGUCGUGAGAACAUCAAAGGGGUUUCGUUUGGGAGAGGUGGACCAACGAUCACUCAUUUACUCUUUGCCGAUGAUAGUGUGGUAUUUGUGGAGGGGCUGAGAGAGAAUUUUGAGGCUUUGCGCCAUAUCCUGGUUGAUUAUGAAGAGGCCUCGGGGCAAAAGGUAAAUCUCCAAAAGUCAGCGGUGUACUUUGGCAAGGGUACUUUGGAUGGUGAUAAGGAGGAACUCAAACAUGUGUUGCAAAUUUCGGAGGAGGCACUGAGUGAACGGUAUUUGGGGCUACCCACGGUGGUGGAAAGAUCUAAGGACGGUACUUUCAAAUACGUUAAGGAUAGUGCGAAAGGGAAAGUGUCAGGAUAG
rnacentral:rRNA from 1 species